UACGAAGGGGGUUAGCGUUGCUCGGGAUCACUGGGCGUAAAGCGCACGUAGGCGGAUUGCUAAGUCAGGGGUGAAAUCCUGGAGCUCAACUCCAGAACUGCCUUUGAUACUGGCGACCUUGAGUCCGGGAGAGGUGAGUGGAACUGCGAGUGUAGAGGUGGAAUUCGUAGAUAUUCGCAAGAACACCAGUGGCGAAGGCGGCUCACUGUCCCGGUACUGACGCUGAGGUGCGAAAGCCUGCGGACCAAGCAGG
rnacentral:rRNA from 1 species